rnacentral:rRNA from 1 species
AUUGAACGCUGGCGGCAUGCCUUACACAUGCAAGUCGAACGGUAACAGGUCUUCGGACGCUGACGAGUGGCGAACGGGUGAGUAAUACAUCGGAACGUGCCCAGUCGUGGGGGAUAACUACUCGAAAGAGUAGCUAAUACCGCAUACGUCCUACGGGAGAAAGCAGGGGACCUUCGGGCCUUGCGCUAUCAGAUGAGCCUAGGUCGGAUUAGCUAGUUGGUGAGGUAAUGGCUCACCAAGGCGACGAUCCGUAACUGGUCUGAGAGGAUGAUCAGUCACACUGGAACUGAGACACGGUCCAGACUCCUACGGGAGGCAGCAGUGGGGAAUAUUGGACAAUGGGCGAAAGCCUGAUCCAGCCAUGCCGCGUGUGUGAAGAAGGUCUUCGGAUUGUAAAGCACUUUAAGUUGGGAGGAAGGGCAUUAACCUAAUACGUUAGUGUUUUGACGUUACCGACAGAAUAAGCACCGGCUAACUCUGUGC